rnacentral:rRNA from 1 species
GUUUCGAAUCAUUCACAAUGGGCGAAAGCCUGAUGGUGCGACGCCGCGUGAGGGAUGAAGGUCUUCGGAUUGUAAACCUCUGUCACUGGGGAAGAAACGCUUUGAGUUAACAGUUCAAAGCCUGACUUAACCCGGAGAGGAAGCAGUGGCUAACUCUGUGCCAGCAGCCGCGGUAAUACAGAGACUGCAAGCGUUAUUCGGAUUCACUGGGCGUAAAGGGUGCGCAGGCGGCCAAGUGUGUGAGGCGUGAAAGCCCGGGGCUUAACCCCGGAAUUGCACCUCAAACUACAUGGCUAGAGCAUUGGAGAGGGUAGCAGAAUUCAUGGUGUAGCAGUGAAAUGCGUAGAUAUCAUGAGGAAUACCAGAGGCGAAGGCGGCUACCUGGACAAUUGCUGACGCUCAGGCACGAAAGCGUGGGGAGCAAAAGGGAUUAGAUACCCUAGUAGUCC